rnacentral:rRNA from 1 species
UACGUAGGGUGCAAGCGUUGUCCGGAAUUAUUGGGCGUAAAGAGCUCGUAGGUGGUUUGUUACGUCCGCUGUGAAAUCCUAGGGCUUAACCCUGGGCUUGCAGUGGAUACGGGCAGACUAGAGGUAGGUAGGGGAGAAUGGAAUUCCUGGUGUAGCGGUGAAAUGCGCAGAUAUCAGGAGGAACACCGGUGGCGAAGGCGGUUCUCUGGGCCUUACCUGACACUGAGGAACGAAAGCGUGGGGAGCGAACAGG